rnacentral:lncRNA from 1 species
UCAAGGCCACAACUCCAUAUUUGAAGUAAAGUGCUCAUAAAAUUAAUUGCAAGAUAUGGUAGAAAGAAGAGAGAAUGAAAAAUAAUGUUAACAAUCUAGGUGAGGAAUUGCUGAGGAGACAAAUUAAGUAAAUCCUGUGGAAGGAAAGAAGAAAGGAGGAAAGAGGAUUGGAUGGAAGAAUCUCCACUUCUCAGGAUACAAUGAAGAUAAGCACAAAACAAUAAGGGAGCAAUGUGGUCUAAUUACCUUGAAGGACCAAAAGGACUGAGUGAGUAGGUGUAGUCCUUCCUUAGCCUGCUUUUUAAUGACUGCUGCUAAAGCCCUUAGCCUGCCUGUUUACCCUUGGAGUGGAGCAAUGAACUGAAGAUAUUUGAGUGAGUUCAAGAGAGACUCAGAAGAGAAGAAUUGGAGGCAGCAAACAUAGACAGCACUUUUAAUGCUUUUCUCAUAUGCUGUAAGACAUGAAAGCAAUCUAUUGGGAUGAAAGCUGAAAGGAGAAGCGGGACAAGAGAAGUGAAUCCGUGGAAGACCCCCAAAAGAGGCUGCAGAUUCUUGGUGGACAGCUCUCAUAUCCCCUCCAGGGAAAAUGAUGAAAAAUGUCUUCAGAAAAAUAGCUUUAUGAAGGCAAGAGGACUUUUUGCACCUGCAAGACAUGUCUGAAAGCUUCCAUCAGAUUCUUGUAAGUACCUCACUUGGCACAAGAUAGAACAACAUGGCGUUCAAGAAAGUCAACUGCGUUGCCCAAGAGUAAGAGAAGGACCCUCUGAAGAAGAGCAACUUUUCAGACAGGUAGAGUGUGCCUUGCUCCCAAGGAAAAGAGUUCUUGAAAAAAACAAAUGGGAAACAUGGCUACAAGAAAACUGGGAAGACUGCAAGAAUUUGAACAUUUCAUUUCAGGAUUUGGGGGAUCCUUACCAGGUUGAAAAUUUUAACAGAAUUCUUAGAAGACUAAUUCGAGUUGAAACCCCCUGGUUAGUGGAUAAUUCACUGGUGGACUUAAGUGCCAUAAGAUUGCCAAGGUCUCAGAUUGGAGAACAAGAAAAGUAAAAAGGGGUAAUUUGGGACAAUAAUUUGUACAUAACUGUAGUUGUUGAUGAGCCAGAGCAUCUUUCUCCACUAAAACGCCAUUUUAAAAGCUUUUGUGGCAUUAUACCAAGAUAUCUCAGAAGAUUAAAUGCCUCACUUCCAGUGACAGAGUCAAAUGGUGCCCUUGAGUGUAAAGUUUGCUGUUCCAAGAAGAGGACAAAAGAGACACAUAUUGUAGAUUUUUAAAUUAGAGUGAUCUACACCAGUAACAUAAAUAUCACCAUCAUCAUUAUCAUCACCAUCAUGAUCAUCAGGAAUUCUAGGCACAUAUGGCAGAAUGUGUUUACAGGCUGGAUGUGGUGGCUCAUGCCCAUAAUCCC